CCGGCGGGGGAGAGUGCAGACGUGAGUGCAGAGCAGAGGGAAGAGGGAGAGGAGAGCACUCUCGAAACUGCGCAGGCAGGGAGUUCGAAACAGCCCGCGGUGCAGACGACAGCGGAGGGGGCAGCGGGAACGAGGCGGGAAAAGAAGGCGGCGGUGAGUGCGGGCGCGGCGGUUUUACGUCUGGAGCGCCCAGUGACGCGUUCGGUGGCAGGAGCCCAUGAAGCCGCAGAGGCAGCCGCCCGAACCCUGUCCGUGGCAGCCGCGACUCCAGAGAGAGCGGCGGAGAAGGAGCAAGACGCCUCCUUCCUGGCAGCUCUGGCCGCACGCAUGCGCGUCAUGGUAGAGCGAAACCCGGAAAUCAGAGCGCAGGAUUUCUCGUAUUUCGAAAGAGCGGCACAGGCAUAGACGGCUUCGGGGGCGGCGGCAGCCGCCAGCCAGCCGUCCAGAGACUGCGCUGCGGCCGCGGGGGGAGACCCGAGCGGCGCGGGGCCUGGCGGGACGUGGCCCGGGGCCGCAGGAGCGGCGGGACACAGCAAGCGCGCGCUGAUGACGUCAGCGGAGCCUGGAACUGCACUGGGUGCCGGCACUACCACGGACCCGGGGGGGGGGACCCACAGCGGGACCGAGGCGGCGCGGAGCCCAGCUGGGAGAAGGGAGGAGGCGUUCCCAAGCCCGCGGCCGCGCUGGAGGCAGUGCAGGCGGGGCGCAGCCAGGGCGGGGGUUCCUCCUUUCGUUCCCAUGGCGAUGCAGAGAGAGAGGGAGUGAAUCCAGGCUGUGCAUGCAUUUGCGGUAGUCAAAACGAACGCGGAUGUGAAUGAGAAUGUGGGCGCUGAGUUCGGAGAGGUAGAUUUCAGGCGCAGGCUCGGCACAACCGACGCCGGGCGUGAGCGGGGAGGGGGCGAGCAAGAAAGUGGCGCAGCCAUGCCGAGGAUGGGAAGAUUUCGACUGAAAGAACUCACGAAACAAUAAUGAACAUUGAUUUAAGGAGAAGAAACAAUUUGUUGUUGCAUGCCAUUCUGAAGUCUCAUUUUGGAUUUUAACAGUAUUGUGCAUUUUCCUAGGUGGACCUUCAGGUUUGUUUUUAUAUCUCUUGUGAGUGGAAUCAUUGCAUUUCUGUUUUCUAUCAUUCUCAAAUGUUUUUCACAAGAUUUCAGAGGGAGAUGCCUGAAGCAUUUUGACAGCCUCUUGUCAACUGUAAAUCUUUUGAUUUCUUCUAAUUGACAUCCUUUUCCCUCAAAGAAGUUUCACGAAAAAAUGAAUCCUUGUGUCAUUUGAUCAAUUUAUCAGCUUGAACUUCAAGUGUUUAUUUUAUGUGAAAAUAUUAUAAUAGGUUGUUGUGUUUUAAGUAUCAUAUAUGUAUUGUUGGUACAAGCUUUGUUUUAGAUAAUAUGUUAGAGGACAUCACUCCAUUUUAAAGUUUGCAUCCUGGCCAGGCCCUGAUUUUAACUUGGAUGGAUGAGUUUUGCCAGCAAAAUCCAGAGGUUUCUGCACAAAAAUGAAUGAUAUGUAGAUCAUUUUUAUCCACCAAUUCAAUCCUACAAAUGUGACAGCUGACACAGCUUUGAGGUGAAACUUGUCAAGCCCUGCCCGGGAAGGGAUGCCAAGGGUUUUCACUGGAAACAAAUGUUUCAGCUGUCUGCAGACUCUGAAAUGCUGGCACAAGGUUUCUAAUGAUUAUGCAUUGUUCAAUUUUAUAUAUGUUAUUUAGAAUCUCUUUCUUUUGAACUUUCUUAAAUUGUAAUCAAUUUUGAUAGGUUUUAUGCAUUCUAUCAUUGAGGUAUUUUGUCUUAUUUUAUAUUAUGUUUUAUAUUUCAACAUUCCUGUUUCAAAAGAGAAGAAGAGAAAGAAUGAAAAAAGAAAAAAGGUGAAGAAGUGCCUAAAAUAAGGCUGGAAAGAGGUUGAGGAUUUUGUAUAUUUUAAUCUUUUGAAAUAAUACUUUUGUAGACCCCAUUUUGCUGAUCAUCGAGAGAAAGGUGAGAAGAGUCCCAGACACUGGACAGACCAAACUAAAAAAUCAUUCAGAUUAAUAACUCUGAGCAAGGAUUAUGUUAGUGUUUUCACAGGAGUUAGAAAAUGGUUUUUUGUUUUUUUGGGGUUUUUUUUAAGCUUACAGGCCUUCAAAAACAAUUCUUACAGAUUUAGAGAUGAUAGCUUAGAUCAUUAUUAAGGCAAGGACCAGGUUGCUGGCAAUAUCAGGCAAAGAUUUCUCAAUCAUUCAUUUACUUUUAAAGAAAAAAUAUUUUGAGUGGACAAUCCAAAAGUCACAAGAUUUUUCAAUCACGUUGUUAGGGUAUCCAGGAGUUUGCACAGUUCAUUUUCCAGCUCACAGAAUGUUAAAUGCAAAAGUAAGUUUUAGAGAAAAACCAAAAAUAAGUCAGGAGCCAGUGGAAGGGGUGACAGUGUUCACUGAGGGUUGAGGGAAAACUCACAAAUCAGUAACCACAUGGCAAAAUCCAAAAACGGGGAAAUGGGAAUCAGAUAUUAAAAUAGUACAUGGUUCACCACAAAUCGUAGAAUUGGCAGCAGUAGUCAGGGUUUUUCAAUUAUUUCAGGAACCCCUCAGUCUGAUCACAGAUUCAGCAUAUGUUGCAAAUGUGGUCAAACAAUUAGAGGGAUCACUUUUAAAACACACAGACAAUGAAAUUUUAUAUUCAUAUUUGUCAUGCAUGAGAACAAUCCUAGAAAAAAGAGAACACAAAUAUUUUGUUAUACACAUCAGAACACAUUCUUCACUUCCAGGGUUUUUAGCAGAAGGGAAUGCUCAUGCAGACAAAAUCACAGACACUGCCAGACAUUUUCGAGCAAGCAAAAUUGAGCCAUGCAUUUUUUCACCAAAAUGCACAAACAUUGAUGGAAUCCUUUCGCCUUUCUAAAAGUCAGACAGAGGAAAUCAUCAGUGCUUGCCCAGAUUGUCAGCUUGUGCAGUCACCAGGAGCAGACAAUCCGAAGGGAUUGCAGAGUGUUCAGCUGUGGCAAACUGAUGUCACAAAAUAUGCAUCCUUUGGGAGGCUCAAAUACAUUCAUGUUUCAGUUGACACAUUUUCAGGGGCAAUUUUUGCAUCAUUACAUACACGAGAAACCGCAGAACAUGCCUGCAGACAUUUUUUACAAGCAUUUGCAUCAUUAGGGGUGCCACAAGAAAUAAAAACAGAUGAUCCAAUUUACACAGGCAAGGUGCUUGACAAAUUUCUGAAAAAAUGGGGAGUCAAACAAGUUUUCGGUAUUCCUCAUUCUCCCUCAGGUCAAGCAAGCAUUGAAAGAACACAUCACACCCUGAAAUCCCUCUUGGAUGAACAGAAAAGGGGGGAGGCAGGCGCAACACCUUAUAUGCGGUUGGACAAAGCUCUGUAUGUGUUGAAUUUUUUAAAUGGUUCUUUCUCAGAGCCCAUUCCACCAAUUGUCAGACAUUUUACAAACAGCACACAAGCAAAGCUAAGGGAAAAUCCUUUAGUUUUGGUCAGAAACCCAGAGUCAGGACAAAUCGAAGGCCCAUUUGCAUUAAUAAUUUGGGCAAGGGUUUUGCUUGUGUUUCCACAGGGCAAGGACUGAAGUGGGUGUCAGCAAGGCACAUGAACCCUUAUCGGGUGCAGACGCAAGUGGAUGUGGACCCGAGAAGCAGAAAGGCAAGCACACAGACGAAGGCGAACAACGACGGUGCAGACGUGUCAUCAGACAACGAUUGGAAACUCAGAGACUUGAGGUUUUUUUAAGGAAUCAAGUGUUAUUUGGGUGUUGCUGCAUUGUGGAGUUUCUCACAGAGAGUGGGGACAUGGACAUGGGGUUCAGACAGUGUUCAUGUGCUUCAUUCUUUUGCCUUUUGCCUUGGGAAAUAGAACAGAUUUUCCCAUGAGACAACCAAGGGAAAAUAUGUGGGAGACUUUGGCAAAAGCAGCGGGUCUGGACAGCAUUUGCCUGACCCAUUCAAAACCGGGGAAACCACUCUCAACAUGCUUGGUAGGUGUGCCAGUUGGAGGAAUGGCCAAUCCCAAAGAGCAUCCCUCCAAAGGUUCUGAAGUCUUUUUUGGAUGCUGUGGACGGAUGGCAUGUUUGGGCACAGUUCCUUCCAGUGGCUCACUUUGAACCCCACGAAUUGGACAUCUUUGGGUCAACAAAAAUGAAAUUCUGUAUCAAAUUCAAUCCAUUGGGAGUGACAGAGAAAGAUAACCACAUGAUAGAUAUCACGCCAAACCAGCUCUUUUACAGAAAUGCAUCAUCCUGGUGUAAUUACACCAAAAAUGAUGAGCAAACCAUCCCUCCAAAAUCCAACCAUUCUACCAAAAGGGAUGUUUUUGAAUUUGCGGGGACAGAAUUUGGCCUGCUAUCCCUGCAAAAAUCAAGGGUGGUCCAUGCAGCAUUGGGAGAUCUUUUGUUAACACUUUGAUAAGAGAGGAAGAAAAAAAAACUAAUGAAUGAAGUGAUCCAGAAUGUGACAAUGAUAAUGUUAACACCUAGAAAAACAGCUUGGAAAUCUGGAAUGGGUCUGCUUUCACAGCAGGUGGCAUCAAAAAGAGUCUUGGUACAGCUGGAUCAAAAGAGGUUGUGGGCAGAGUAAGGAUGCCCAUGCCGUUUCUUUUGCAUCAAAUAAUUUGUUAGCUAACAAUAUGAAAUGAGAACAAAGCAGCAAUUGAACAUCUAUUGUGAACACAUGGACACGAGUGAUAAAUUUGAAGAGGUAUCAUAAGAGAAAACACACCUGCAGAAAAAGAAAAAUUAAAUCUUACAUGGAUGGUGGGUUCAAUUUGUUUUACCCUUCACAGUUGUAGAAGGAGAUUUGGAAAACACUUGUAUAUAAUUAUAGGGUAUUGUAAUUCUUCUGA